rnacentral:sRNA from 1 species
AUUUUUGAAAUUAUCUUAUCGAUUUUCUUUAAUUUACUUUUCUAGCAUCAGUUCCGAAAGAAAUAGACCUGUAAUAAAACAAUGAUGAAGAGUAGGUGUCGCAGCGAUUUUCAAUUGUCAUUAACUGUUUGUGAGACCAAAUGUGUCAGUAUCCGCUAUUACACACCUAGUUGUCAACAUUCACUACAAAUAAUACGGACUUUAACGUCGGUUAACUUAGGUGUUAACGUCGGUUUAAGGCAUCCAAUAAAACUGACGUUAUGUUUCUCUUUCCUCGUUUUGUCGACCAAAGAAACUGACCCUAAAUGUAAAAAACAAAAUUUACUACUAGUAAAAAAUGCCAACAUACAACUGACGCCUUAGUAAUGACAUUUUAUUAUCAUUCAUACUAAUUAUCCAUAGAAAAAUCGUUUAAAAUUAAUUAAUGUCACAAACAAUUCAAGAUAAAAUAGUACAUAUAGAGAUCAAAGUUUAUACUUUAAUUU